AACGUAGGAGACAAACGUUUAUCCGGAGUUACUGGGCGUAAAGGGCGUGUAGGCGGUUAGUUAAGUCUGGCGUGAAAGCUCUCGGCUAAACCGGGAGAGGUCGUUUGGAUACUGGCUGACUAGAGGACGGUAGAGGCGUGUGGAAUUCCGGGGUGUAGUGGUGAAAUGCGUAGAGAUCCGGAGGAACACCAGAGGCGAAGGCGGCCUACUGGGUCAGUACUGACGCUGAGCCGCGAA
rnacentral:rRNA from 1 species